rnacentral:rRNA from 1 species
AUGAAGAACUGGAUCGGAAGCAGUUCACGGCAUGUACGUCCCCGACCAGCCGCCGGAGUCCCUCUGUCUGCUGUGUGCGAUAGCUUUACUCGCUAUCUGUUCUAUUUGCAAGAGGAGGCAAGGGUCGGGAAGCGGUGGCACCGGCGACUGGCAAACCUCAUCGGCUACUGCUGCGACGGGGUCGAGCGCCUGUUCGUCGCUGAGUUCAUGCCCAACGACACCCUCGCCAAGCACCUCUUCCACUAUCCCACUAUGUCACCGGCCUGCUCUCCCUCCCCUGCACCAGGCUCUCCGACCGGCUCCUUCGCACCGCCUUCCACUUCAAAGUUCAAACAACUCAAAGACAAGGUUCACCCUGGCCGUUGUCAAGUCCUGACCAUGGCCACACUGCAGAAACAUCAAAUUCUGUUGAUGUCGAUUUUAUUGAUGAUAAAUGUCAGGUAUAAUCUUCUAUGUCCUUUUCAGUUACAUGUAUGCUUUAUGUUCCGUGUUUCAAAUUAA